AGAGUUUGAUCCUGGCUCAGAUUGAACGCUGGCGGCAUGCCUUACACAUGCAAGUCGAACGGCAGCACGGGAGCAAUCCUGGUGGCGAGUGGCGAACGGGUGAGUAAUACAUCGGAACGUGCCCAUUAGUGGGGGAUAACCCGGCGAAAGCCGGACUAAUACCGCAUACGACCUACGGGUGAAAGCGGGGGAUCGCAAGACCUCGCGCUAUUGGAGCGGCCGAUGGCAGAUUAGCUAGUUGGUAGGGUAAAAGCCUACCAAGGCGACGAUCUGUAGCUGGUCUGGGAGGACGACCAGCCACACUGGGACUGAGACACGGCCCAGACUCCUACGGGAGGCAGCAGUGGGGAAUUUUGGACAAUGGGCGCAAGCCUGAUCCAGCCAUGCCGCGUGCGGGAAGAAGGCCUUCGGGUUGUAAGCCGCUUUUGUCAGGGAAGAAACGUUCCGGGUGAAUACCUCGGAAUAAUGACGAUACCUGAAGAAUAAGCACCGGCUAACUACGUGCCAGCAGCCGCGGUAAUACGUAGGGUGCAAGCGUUAAUCGGAAUUACUGGGCGUAAAGCGUGCGCAGGCGGCUUUGCAAGACAGAUGUGAAAUCCCCGGGCUUAACCUGGGAACUGCAUUUGUGACUGCAUGGCUGGAGUGCGGCAGAGGGGGAUGGAAUUCCGCGUGUAGCAGUGAAAUGCGUAGAUAUGCGGAGGAACACCGAUGGCGAAGGCAAAUCCCCUGGGCCUGCACUGACGCUCAUGCACGAAAAGCGU
rnacentral:rRNA from 1 species